GCCCCAGUGGCUUAGAGGUUAGAGCAAUCGGCUGUUAACCGAUGGAUCGUCGGUUCAAUUCCGACCUGGGGCG
rnacentral:tRNA from 1 species